rnacentral:sRNA from 1 species
AAAGACAACUUGCUUACAGGAAUGCCUUAUCACCACCUUCCAGGAAGCCUACUUUGUUUCAGAAAGUUUUGAAGAAGCCAAAGAAAAGAUGAGGUACAGAUUGGCAAUAUGGCCUGUACAAGCACUGUUUGGGGUGCUGCUGUUCCAGAAACACAACUGAUGUCUCCUAGGGGUGGUAAGACAACAGGAUAAGUGAAGAGAAACUGAGGCACAAGUGUUAUGUGGUCAAGAUCAUACAGCUAAUAGGUGGCAGUCUGACUCCAAGUCUGUGCUUUUCACUGCUGUGCUAUGCCACUAAAGCAUCUACUUAUCAGUUGGCUUUGAACUUGGAAUAGAAAAGGAGCAUGAUUAUAUUACUCUAAAACCUCAGUCUCAAACUCAAAAAGCCAUUAAAAAAGAAAACAAUAAAUAAAACUUCUAUCAAGGCUCAAGACUUCUCUCAUCAUUGAAGGUCAUGGUAAAUCUUUUACUUUCCAUCUCCCAACCUUUAUGCUGAUAUUCCUUGUUUGGCACUUACUUAUUGCCAUGUGUAUUUAUAGAUUUGGUUGUAUGAUGUAGUCUCCUUUAGAGUGUGAACUUGUUGAAG